rnacentral:rRNA from 1 species
UAUCCGGAAUCAUUGGGCGUAAAGCGCCUGUAGGUUGUUUAAUAAGUCCGUUGUUAAAGACUAGGGCUUAACCCUAGGAAGCGAUGGAAACUGAUAGACUUGAGUAUGGCAGGGGUAGAGGGAAUUUCUAGUGUAGCGGUGAAAUGCGUAGAUAUUAGAAAGAACACCGGUGGCGAAAGCGCUCUACUGGACCAUUACUGACACUGAGAGGCGAAAGCUAGGGGAGCGAAAGGGAUUAAAUACCCCUGUAGUCCUAGCCGUAAACGAUGGAUACUAGAUGUUGUGCAAUUUGGACAGUAUCGUAGCUAACGCGUUAAGUAUCCCGCCUGGGGAGUACGCUCGCAAGGGUGAAACUCAAAGGAAUUGACGGGGGCCCGCACAAGCGGUGGAGCAUGUGGUUUAAUUCGAUGCAACGCGAAGAACCUUACCAGGGCUUGACAUACUACAGAUCUUUUUGAGAAAGAAGAGUGCCUUCGGGAAUGUAGAUACAGGUGGUGCAUGGCUGUCGUCAGCUCGUGUCGUGAGAUGUUGGGUUAAGCCCCGCAACGAGCGCAACCCUCGUUUUUAGUUGCCAAUUUAUUGGGAUCUCUAGAAAGACUGCCGGUGACAAACCGGAGGAAGGUGAGGAUGACGUCAAGUCAGCAUGCCCCUUAUGUCCUGGGCCACACACGUGCUACAAUGGUAAAGACAAAGAGUCGCCAAUUCGCGAGAAUGAGUUAAUCUCAUAAACUUUAUCUAAGUUCGGAUUGUAGGCUGCAACUCGCCUACGUGAA